UAAUCUGCCCUACACUAGAGGACAACAGUUGGAAACGACUGCUAAUACUCUAUACUCCUCUCUAACAUAAGUUAGAUAGGGAAAGUUUUUCGGUGUAGGAUGAGGCUAUAUUGUAUCAGCUAGUUGGUGAGGUAAUGGCUCACCAAGGCUAUGACGCAUAACUGGUCUGAGAGGAUGAUCAGUCACACUGGAACUGAGACACGGUCCAGACUCCUACGGGAGGCAGCAGUAGGGAAUAUUGCUCAAUGGGGGAAACCCUGAAGCAGCAACGCCGCGUGGAGGAUGACACUUUUCGGAGCGUAAACUCCUUUUGUUAGGGAAGAACAAUGACGGUACCUAACGAAUAAGCACCGGCUAACUCCGUGCCAGCAGCCGCGGUAAUACGGAGGGUGCAAGCGUUACUCGGAAUCACUGGGCGUAAAGGACGCGUAGGCGGAUUAUCAAGUCUCUUGUGAAAUCCUAUGGCUUAACCAUAGAACUGCUUGGGAAACUGAUAAUCUAGAGUGAGGGAGAGGCAGAUGGAAUUGGUGGUGUAGGGGUAAAAUCCGUAGAGAUCACCAGGAAUACCCAUUGCGAAGGCGAUCUGCUGGAACUCAACUGACGCUAAUGCGUGAAAGCGUGGGGAGCAAACAGGAUUAGAUACCCUGGUAGUCCACGCCCUAAACGAUGUAUACUAGUUGUUGCUAAGCUAGUCUUGGCAGUAAUGCACCUAACGGAUUAAGUAUACCGCCUGGGGAGUACGGUCGCAAGAUUAAAACUCAAAGGAAUAGAGCGGGACCCGCACAAGCGGUGGAGCAUGUGG
rnacentral:rRNA from 1 species